rnacentral:lncRNA from 1 species
GUGCCGCUCCAGGCCCCCAGGGCUUCCCAGCGCAUUCUAGCUGGAGCCACAGUGACUCCUGGGACGCACCUGCCAGCUGCAGAUUCCAGCUGUGCUAUUUGCCUUCCAGGGACAUUCCGACUCAACCCACCCUAGGUGACCACCACCACGGCCCUCUUCAUAAAACAUGAACUUUGAAAUGGUUUCUCCAACUCUCCUACUGAAAUGCCUCAGAUUUUAUAGCAUUGAAAUCAUGUUGGA